rnacentral:rRNA from 1 species
UACGGGGGGGGCAAGCGUUGUUCGGAAUUACUGGGCGUAAAGGGCUCGUAGGUGGCCAACUAAGUCAGACGUGAAAUCCCUCGGCUUAACCGGGGAACUGCGUCUGAUACUGGAUGGCUAGAGUUUGGGAGAGGGAUGCGGAAUUCCAGGUGUAGCGGUGAAAUGCGUAGAUAUCUGGAGGAAUACCGGUGGCGAAGGCGGCAUCCUGGACCGACAUUGACGCUGAUGAGCGAAAGCUAGGGGAGCAAACGGG